rnacentral:lncRNA from 1 species
GCUGCGCACUUCGGUCUUUUACGUCGGCCUUCGCGAGCGUCUGGGCGGGUGGUAGGUGAGUGGGUAUUGCGGGCUAGUAUCCGAGCAAAAGAUGGUGGCGCAGGCCGAGUUAAGAGCUUUAAUCCUGUGAAGACAUCUUAGUGAAGAGUUUAGAGUGCUGAGAGUUGAAAGCUUGCACGUGGGAAACGUGCGGCCGGACUGCCACAUGUACUGAGGUUGAGUCGUGACGGCCACAGGCUCCGAGUUUUGGCGUGAGGAACCGCUGAUCGGCCACGGGCGCCGAACUUGCUGGCCUCCGGCAUGUGCCUGAGCGGCGGCGGAAAAACCACCUUAAUUGGGGCGGAGGGUUAGUUUUAACAGCAAAGGGCCUUUACUAAAAUGGCGAAGGCCUUCCGUCGGCGUUGUUUUAAAAUGGGAAGCCUCGACCCUGUAUUGAAACUGAGCUGUUCGAAGGCGGCGUUGUGUGCAAUUCGGAUUAAUGAAGGGGAAGGGUUUUGUGUGGAAAAACGCCUUGGAGUGUGACAUUUCUGCGAGAAUGCUUAAAUACCGAUUUCCCGCAGGAACAAUGGCGCUGUCUUCAGUGGCACAGUGGAGCAGCUCUGAAGAUGCAAAGAUACACGAAAAAACUUCCAGAACAUCUGGGAGAAUAUUUAAUGGAAAAUCGCUUGGUUAAAACCUGACACUUUUAACAGUGAACAGCGUUCUGAGUGUGGACGAGUAGCCAGUGAAGAUAAUGAAUGUCGAAUGUGACUGACUAGCAGCUUCAUUUUGAAGUAGUGAGGGUCGCUGUCUGCCCAUUGAUAGAGGCCAGAUUGUCUUGGAAGUUCCAAAGUUGCAACGAUUUCUGGCUAGUGCCACGAGGUUUACUUGACUGUUGUGUGAAAAGCUGAUAAGAAAACCAUCCAGAAAAAAGCUCUUCGUUUUACAAACAUGAAAAUAAAACAUGUAAUUUUGGAUUAUG